rnacentral:tRNA from 2 species
GGGGAUGUAGCUCAGUGGCACAGUGUGUGCGUAGCAUGCAGAAGGUCCUGAGUUUGAUCCCCAGCACCCCCC